CAGUCGCCGCGGGAAUACGUAGGUCCCGAGCGUUGUCCGGAUUUAUUGGGCGUAAAGCGAGCGCAGGCGGUUAGAUAAGUCUGAAGUUAAAGGCUGUGGCUUAACCAUAGUACGCUUUGGAAACUGUUUAACUUGAGUGCAAGAGGGGAGAGUGGAAUUCCAUGUGUAGCGGUGAAAUGCGUAGAUAUAUGGAGGAACACCGGUGGCGAAAGCGGCUCUCUGGCUUGUAACUGACGCUGAGGCUCGAAAGCGUGGGGAGCAAACAGGAUUAGAUACCCCCGUAGUCCCUGUCUCUUAUACA
rnacentral:rRNA from 1 species